GAAGCAUGACUACUGUAAAUGUAUUUCAUUCUCUUGGAUUUUCCCUGUGUCCUACCGCUGCAAACAUGUGGGAGUGCUUUCGAGGAAUGUGUGUGUGCUAUGUUCGAAUCGGCCAGGUGGGGAACAUGGUUAGGGUGUUGCAGGAACAGCAGGGAACUCGAAUCCCUGGCCAUGGGCACAAGCAUGGCCACCACUCAGUACACAUUAGUAGUCUAGAGUGAUGGAUGCUCUCGAUUAUAUGUUCACUUUGUUUUGCAAUUAACUGAUAUUCACUUUGUUUUGCAAUUAGCUGAUUAUAUUUCCAAGUGAACAUAUAGUCCAGUUAAUUUAUUUCUCACAGUUUUGCUAGUGAGUGAUAUCGUCAGACCAUCCAACCUACAACUUACCAUGGUUCAGAUAGUAGCUGACCACAUUACCACCUAACAGUAGCUUCAGAUAGUAGCUGGUUGAGCCAUGGUUUUACACCAUAGGAAUCAUUUACACAAAACAAUCAUUAAUAAUCAUUUACACAAAAUAAUCAUUUACACAAAAUUGAUAACAACAUAAUCAAUUUGUGUAAACGAAAGUAGCAGCCAACAUAGGAAUCAUUUACACCAUGCUCUACACAUCUGUGAAACAGAUAUUUCAUGUAACCAAACCAAUUGUGCUAGGAGUGGAUUUGUGGGUGCUUUUUAGCUGUAUGACAAGUACCUCGAGAGCAACUGACACAAAAUAGUUUAUAUACAAGAGCAAGCCGAGAGACUAAAAAGAGCACAGUAGAGACUAAACUAUACGCCUAUACUGUAGUAACAAGGAGCACUUUCAGGGCUAGUUAAUGUAAAACCGAAGGGCACAUAACUAUGACGUGGGUAUAUGCUGACCUUGAUAGGAGCAGUGCAAAGCGCUGGAGGAGACUGUCUCGUAAUGCUUGGUCGCGACAGAUGCCACACGACGCUUGCAGCCGCAACACCAUUAACAAACCUGGCCACAACCAUUCCCACAUGUAGUGCCUUUGUUGGUUCCCUCCCUCUGUUAAAUUAGAAACAACCUGGCUGGAUAUGACAGUACCUCUCGUUUGAUCAAGCUAAUCCAAAGUGUGAUUAGUUUCAUUGGAAAAAAAUAAAUGCAGACAAGCUGAAUUGCUAAUUACAUACCAUAUAAUCGUUAAUGAUUAUCCAUGGGAUCUUUUCGGGUGAUCACCCAGUUUAGAAUGACACACUGCUAUUCUCCGUCUCGAUCCAUGAUCUAUCUCAUAGCCUAGAGAGCCCAAGGUGUUCAGAGAUAUGCCUGUUUGAACCUGCGAUUGCACUAAGCCGAAAGUUCACCAUCAUUUACCAAGUAAAAAAUCUUGGAUAAAAAAUGGAACGAAAUUAAACCAUACAAUUAUCGACCUUGUCUAUCACUCUCUAGCAGUCACAAAAGCCUUCUGUGUAAAUAGAAAGGAGUACUGGGGGAUUUAUUAGGAUAAGGCAUAUGCAUAAUGUGUGAGUUGAUGAUAAUUGAUAUUUGAUAAGAACAAGGCGCUCUAACCGUCUAUGCACUACUUACCGACCACUCUUAAUAUACAAGUCAAACUCAUUGGCAUGGCUUCAAAGGAAGUUGUGGCGGUGACCGAUGACCAUCAAGAAUGCAAUUUAGCAAGAUAUUCCUUCGUUUAUUUCUAAAGUGACGCCCUACAGAACCAUGAUUUCCAAUAAAAGGAAGUCUGUCUAAGUUCCCACCAUCAAUGGCAGCCUAAGUGGACGGCUAAAAGAAUUGUUUCCCCAGCCAUUGUACCAAAAGGUUGGAUUAGGCCUCUUCUGCCAUCUCUUAUUGGCCUGCCAAGCUUCUCCAAAUAUGGCCUUCGCACUCUUGCUCGCCCCCUACAGCCCUUACCAUAAUUUUCAUACUUGAAUACAAGCUUCUUCCAAAUACUAUCAUCUAAUGCAAGAUUCCUCAUUUCCUUGCACGUGCACUCAACCUUUGCAAGAUCAACCCCAGGUAAAAAAUGCAAUACCUUAGUCUUAAGAUCAGCAGGCAAAGCCAUCAAGCAUGGCGUGGCAAACGCAAAUAAUUCAGUUGGCACAAUGAUACCAUUAGUGGCAGGCAAAUCUCAUCCGUCGGCGCUCUCCACAGAUCAUGAACUCCCUUCUCAUGCACUUCACUCAGAUAAAGUAAAGGCUCAAGCCCGUGCACAUACUACCCAUAAACUAUCACGAAAUUUGGCCAUCAAGGAGUCAUUCAGCACCACCACCUUCCGCUCGAUUUCACAGAGAUGCCUCUAGUACCGGUCACGCCCUAGCCCAUGAUUUAUCAUCGUAUACUAUUUCUUCAUUAGAUUGUUCGCUACAUCUACUGAUUGAGCGUAUUGAUAUCGAGUGAAGUGAUAGCCUGCCACUCGCUGAAGCGGAAGGAGCAGAGGCAGGGCGUGACCGGUACCAGGACCCACAGCUCGGUGGUGUGGAUGUAGUCGACGACGGUGAAGCUCGUGAGGCUGCGCACCCCGACAUUAGUGAAGUUGACGUGGCCAGGCGACAGCAGUAGCGGAGGUCAAGGUUCCGGAGGCAGGGGCAGACGGUGACCAUCCGGCGCAGCGAGGCGUCGGUGAGGAAGACGGAGUGGAGGUGGAUGACCUCGAGCAUGGCAACCAUGGCGUUGUUGACGGCCCUGAGGUUGAGCCCACGCACCGACAGGCGUGCGAGCAGCGGGGACCCCACGGGAACUGCAGGGUGAGCAUGCUCGGGCGGCGCGUGCCACCUCGCCUGGCUGUCGUCGAUGCAGAGGUGCAGGUCCUCGCCCCUCCCGCCCACUCGGCCUGCCCGCUCCUGGAUCCACGCUCCUCGCUCUCGGCGCCGACAGGUGGAUUCCCCGCUUGAGCGGCUAGGCGAGGUAGGCUCCGGCGGUUGGUGGGGGUAGGGGGCGGGCACGGCGGGAUGGGCGGCCAUCACGCGGGGAGCGGGCGAGGUUUGGGGGCUGGGUGUCGCGGGGACAGAGGCAGGCGGGGGCAUGGGCUAGUGUGGACGCCUUCGUUGUCUCUUCAACGUCGGCGCUGGAGACGGUGGCAGAGGGGCGGAGUCCAACGCAGACGCGAGGUCGAGCACAAGGAAUGGCUAGCAACACCAGCGCAAGCCUGGAGCGUGUAGAAGCCGGUGGAGGAAGAGAAGGAGGCGACAUACUUGACCUCGUCCAAGCUCACCUCCACGGAAAUUUAGAUCUAACCGACUCUCUCCCGGUGCUCGUUCAUCCUCCAUGUCCCGCCGCUGUGAAAGCCAGGCGCUCGAUGUCGUCAGGGAGCAGGCUGGAGAAGGUGUCGUAGGAGAGGUUGAGGGAUCGGUUGGUGUCGUAGGAGGCAGGGCGAGCGUGGAUCUAUGGAUCGGCGUUUAUGGCGGAUAGGCGGAUCCGCGGCAUCCGCUUGCGCGUUGAUGGCGAGGAGAGGGUGGGGGAUCUGCGGCGCAGGCAUGCAGUGCGCGUUGAUGGCGGAGAGCAGAGGGCGCGUGCGCGUUGAUGGCGGGGAGCAGAGGGGAGGAAGGUGGGGGAUCCGCGGCGCGUUGACGGCAGAACCGUGCACCAAAAAGUUUGUGGACGUCUACAAUAGUGUCUUAUGUAGUAGUAGAGAUAUAUAUCUAUUACUACUACUUAAGAGAAUAGUGUAGGCGUCCACACAAAACCUUGGUGCACGGUUCUGCCAGCUGAUCCGCCCCACCCUCCUCCAUCGCAGGCAACGCAGGCUCCGGUCCUCCCUCCCUCCACCCCGGCUGCCGCCGACCGCGCGCUACCCUCGCGACCCCGUUCAUCCCGCCGCCGUCACGCACGGACUACCUCCAGGAUGCUCGGCCCUAACCGCGCCCUACCUCCCUCCCCCAACCCCGUUCAUCUCGCCCCCGUUCAUCCCGUGAACCCAUCCCCGCGGUCCCCUCGCUACCCAUCCAUCUCGCCGUCGUCCUCGCCCGCCCUGCCUCCCACGAUGGGGAACCCCAUCCUCGACCUUUCUCAGUCCCUGGCCACGCCAGCAGCGCCUCCCAGAUUCUCCCCCGUUCAUCCCGCCCCCCGCCCGUGAUCCCCUCCCCGCGCAAGAUCUCGCCCCAUCUCCCAGAUCCUUCCCCGGCUGCAAGGAUCUAACGAAGGCAUCCACAGUGACCCCGUCGCCGCCGCUGCUCCCGCUCCGCACCGGCUUCCCGCGCCUCGCCGUCGUGGCCCCCGUCGCCGCCGCUGUCGACGUCGCGCUGGCCGAGGUCGCGUGCCGCGUGCUCGCCGGCCUCUCGUGCUGCUGCAGAGGCGGCUGAGACAACGAGGCCACUGCCAGCACGCCGGCGUCCGUGACGGCGCGCCCGGGGUGGCGGUGGGAGGGGGAAGCCCAACGUCGCUGAACAGGCUGUAGGCAAGCUCGAGCCGUUUCCAGCAUCGGCAUGGUGUUCGCGACUGCCAACGCCUCUUCUUCAGCCACCACAUUAGUCAGAAAUGUAAAUCAGUUGAAGAGUGUGCUAAAGGUAUCUGUAAAAUUUACAUUAGCAUAUAACAAAAUCAGGUCAUUUGAGACUUAAACACUUAUGCUACCUCCUUUCAUAUAUCGCUUCAUUGGAUUUAUUAUGGCAAAAAUAAAAUGAAGGUAGAAGACAAAUUGUUACAUGGAAACAGGAUGAUAAAGAAUUUGCACAAGCAACCGCUAAUGAUAAGAAGAGCUAUGAGUACUCCAACUUGAGCUUUGAAAUGCAUAAUAGAAUAUAAUCGAAGAUGUCAAAUUGAUAACCUUUCCCUUGUUUUAUGGCUUCUUCACUGUCACACAUAUCCCAACUAUUUCUGUCAAAAAUCUUCCCACUUGAAACAGCUUCAGCUAGAGCGGUCUUUAUGGCAUCAGCAUGAGCAGAUUUAUCCACUGAACUUUCACUGAGAUGUAAUGGUGAAACAGGCCCUGCUGAUCAGAGUUGGUCAUCAUAUUUAUGUUGUUUGAUAAUGGAUAGUGGAUGCAUUACGGAACAGCAGCAAUCUGGAUUUAGUGUGCAAACCCCAGAUUUAAUACCUUCAUCUUCAUCGAGCAUAGGGUGGUAAGGUGUCUUAGGCUCAGUGAUCUUCUCUCUUUCUGGUUUGUUUGACUCAAUGUCAUUUAAAUUCUCCUCAUUCCAUUUGACAUGGCCCCUGGAACACAUCAACUGUGGUAUUUUUGCAGGGCAAACCAUUAUGUCAGAAAAAGAAGUUGAGACAGCACCACUAACCUUGCCUUCUUGGGUUCUCUAGCUUUCAUUGUGUCCUGACAAAUGCACGGCAGCUCAAGAAACACAGCCUCAGAAUCUGCAACGGGUUACCAGGAAAACAUCGUGCAAAGGGAAGUCAGUAUAAUGUAUCACAGGCAUCUUGGGAUGAUCAAAACCCUGUACAUCACUAUUUACCGAAACCUACAUAACUCCACAAGCCCACAUCAACCGACAGAUACUAAAAUCAUUUGUUGAACAGAUACUAAAACCAUUAGAUAAGGCCUGUCAAACAAGAUGGUAUGAUACUAAAACCAUUAGAUAAGGCCUGUCAAACAAGAUGGUAUGAUAAAGUGUUACUGAUAUAAUGAAAUCGAGAAGGCAUUACUGAUAUCCCAGAGAAGAGAUCAAGUAAACAAAUGCAAAAAAAGAACCAUGCAGAAACAUUAAAAGGAUAUCCAAGUAAUACUAACUAUCUGAUACCCGCUAAAUGAUUCCUAUGUAAAUGUGUUUCAUUCUCUUGUAAAAAGAACCCACAAACCCACAAAAAGAACCCACAAAUCCAAGAGAAUGUAAAUGAUUCCUUUUAUAUAUCCAAUGAAAAAGAACCAUGUAGAAACAUUAAAAGGAUAUCCAAGUAAUACUAACAUUAAAAUGGAAGCAUGACUACUGUAAAUGUAUUUCAUUCUCUUGGAUUUUCCCUGUGUCCUACCGCUGCAAACAUGUGGGAGUGCUUUCGAGGAAUGUGUGUGUGCUAUGUUCGAAUCGGCCAGGUGGGGAACAUGGUUAGGGUGUUGCAGGAACAGCAGGGAACUCGAAUCCCUGGCCAUGGGCACAAGCAUGGCCACCACUCAGUACACAUUAGUAGUCUAGAGUGAUGGAUGCUCUCGAUUAUAUGUUCACUUUGUUUUGCAAUUAACUGAUAUUCACUUUGUUUUGCAAUUAGCUGAUUAUAUUUCCAAGUGAACAUAUAGUCCAGUUAAUUUAUUUCUCACAGUUUUGCUAGUGAGUGAUAUCGUCAGACCAUCCAACCUACAACUUACCAUGGUUCAGAUAGUAGCUGACCACAUUACCACCUAACAGUAGCUUCAGAUAGUAGCUGGUUGAGCCAUGGUUUUACACCAUAGGAAUCAUUUACACAAAACAAUCAUUAAUAAUCAUUUACACAAAAUAAUCAUUUACACAAAAUUGAUAACAACAUAAUCAAUUUGUGUAAACGAAAGUAGCAGCCAACAUAGGAAUCAUUUACACCAUGCUCUACACAUCUGUGAAACAGAUAUUUCAUGUAACCAAACCAAUUGUGCUAGGAGUGGAUUUGUGGGUGCUUUUUAGCUGUAUGACAAGUACCUCGAGAGCAACUGACACAAAAUAGUUUAUAUACAAGAGCAAGCCGAGAGACUAAAAAGAGCACAGUAGAGACUAAAC
rnacentral:lncRNA from 1 species